rnacentral:misc_RNA from 1 species
GAAAUGCGAUAAGUAAUGUGAAUUGCAGAAUUCAGUGAAUCAUCGAAUCUUUGAACGCACAUUGCGCCCCCUGGUAUUCCGGGGGGCAUGCCUGUUCGAGCGUCAUUUCACCACUCAAGCCUCGCUUGGUAUUGGGCAACGCGGUGCGCCGCGUGCCUCAAAUCGACCGGCUGGGUCUUCUGUCCCCUAAGCGUUGUGGAAACUAUUCGCUAAAGGGUGCUCGGGAGGCUACGCCGUAAAACAACCCCAUUUCUAAGGUUGACCUCGGAUCAGGUAGGGAUACCCGCUGAACUUAAGC